rnacentral:rRNA from 1 species
CGUGUAGCCGGGCCGACAAGUCAGAUGUGAAAUCCACGGGCUUAACCCGUGAACUGCAUUUGAAACUGUUGGUCUUGAGUAUCGGAGAGGUAACCGGAAUUCCUAGUGUAGCGGUGAAAUGCGUAGAUAUUAGGAAGGAACACCAGUGGCGAAGGCGACCACCCGGACUGAUACUGACACUGAGGUGCGAAAGCGUGGGGAGCAAACA